rnacentral:rRNA from 1 species
AUCUUGUUUGAAAGAUUAAUCGGUUGCGGAUUGGCUCGCGUCCCAUUAGCUAGUCGGCGGGGUAACGGCCCACCGAGGCGACGAUGGGUAGGGGUUCUGAGAGGAAGGUCCCCCACAAUGGAACUGAGACACGGUCCAUACUCCUACGGGAGGCAGCAGUGAGGAAUAUUGGUCAAUGGGCGGAAGCCUGAACCAGCCAUGCCGCGUGCAGGACGACGGCCCUAUGGGUUGUAAACUGCUUUUGCGAGGGAGCAAUAAGGGCCUCGAGCAGGUCCGAUGAGAGUACCUUGCGAAUAAGCAUCGGCUAACUCCGUGCCAGCAGCCGCGGUAAUACGGAGGAUGCGAGCGUUAUCCGGAUUUAUUGGGUUUAAAGGGUGCGUAGGCUGUUAGUUAAGUCAGGGGUGAAAUGCCGGUGCUCAACGCCGGAGCUGCCCUUGAUACUGGCUGGCUGGAGUGCGGAUGCCGUUGGAGGAAUGAGUGGUGUAGCGGUGAAAUGCUUAGAGAUCACUCAGAACACCGAUUGCGAAGGCAUCUGACGAAUCCGUCACUGACGCUGAGGCACGAAAGCGUGGGGAUAGAA